rnacentral:rRNA from 1 species
AGCAGCCGCGGUAAUUCCAGCUCCAAUAGCGUAUAUUAAAGUUGUUGCAGUUAAAAAGCUCGUAGUUGAAUUUCGGGAUCAGUCUAUCGGUCGUGCAAUAGUACGUACUGAUUUUAUUGAUUCCUCCCUUCUGAUGAACUAUGAUGUCAUUAAUUUGGUGUCAUAGGGAAUCAGGACUGUUACUUUGAAAAAAUUAGAGUGUUUAAAGCAGGCUCACGCUUGAAUACAUUAGCAUGGAAUAACGAAAUAGGACGUUUGAUUCUAUUUUGUUGGUUUCUAGGAUCGACGUAAUGAUUAGUAGGGAUAGUUGGGGGCAUUAGUAUUCAAUUGUCAGAGGUGAAAUUCUUGGAUUUAUUGAAGACUAAACUACUGCGAAAGCAUUUGCCAAGGAUGUUUUCAUUAAUCAAGAACGAAAGUUAGGGGAUCGAAGACGAUCAGAUACCGUCGUAGUCUUAACCAUAAACUAUGCCGACUAGGGAUCGGAUGAUGUUAAUUUUUUAAUGACUCU